rnacentral:rRNA from 1 species
CCUACGGGUGGCAGCAGUGAGGAAUAUUGGUCAAUGGACGAGAGUCUGAACCAGCACAGUAGCGUGAAGGAUGACUGCCCUCUGGGUUGUAACCUUCUUUUAUAUGGGAAUAAAAUGUUCCACAUGUGGUAUUUUGUAUGUACCAUAUGAAUAAGUAUCGGCUAACUCCGUGCCAGCAGCCGCGGUAAUACGGAGGAUCCGAGCGUUAUCCGGAGUUAUUGGGUUUAACGGGAGCGUAGGUGGAUUGUUAAGUCAGUUGUGAAAGUUUGCGGCUCAACCGUAAAAUUGCAGUUGAAACUGGCAGUCUUGAGUACAGUAGAGGUGGGCGGAAUUCGUGGUGUAGCGGUGAAAUGCGUCGAGAUCACGAAGAACUCCGAUGGCGAAGGCAGCUCACUGGACUGCAACUGACACUGAGGCUCGAAAGUGUGGGUAUCAAACAGGAGUAGAUACCCUAGUAGUC